rnacentral:rRNA from 1 species
CAAGCGGUGGAGCAUGUGGUUAAUUCGAAGCAACGCGAAGAACCUUACCAGGUCUUGACAUCCCGAUGCUAUUUCUAGAGAUAGAAAGUUACUUCGGUACAUCGGUGACAGGUGGUGCAUGGUUGUCGUCAGCUCGUGUCGUGAGAUGUUGGGUUAAGUCCCGCAACGAGCGCAACCCCUAUUGUUAGUUGCCAUCAUUCAGUUGGGCACUCUAGCGAGACUGCCGGUAAUAAACCGGAGGAAGGUGGGGAUGACGUCAAAUCAUCAUGCCCCUUAUGACCUGGGCUACACACGUGCUACAAUGGGGUCGACAAUGGGAAGCAAUACCGCGAGGUGGAGCCAAUCCCCAAACGACCCCUCAGUUCGGAUUGUAGUCUGCAACUCGACUACAUGAAGUCGGAAUCGCUAGUAAUGGCAGGUCAGCAUACUGCCGUGAAUACGUUCCCGGGUCUU